CCUACGGGAGGCAGCAGUGAGGAAUAUUGGUCAAUGGCCGGAAGGCUGAACCAGCCAAGCCGCGUGAAGGACGAAGGUGCCAAGCAUUGUAAACUUCUUUUGUCAAGGGACAAAAUCAGGCUCGAGAGCCUGACCGAGGGUACUUGAAGAAAAAGCAUCGGCUAACUCCGUGCCAGCAGCCGCGGGAAUACGGGGGAUGCGAGCGGUGUCCGGAUUUAUUGGGUUUAAAGGGUGCGUAGGCUGUGAGGUAAGUCAGCGUGGAAAUGCCCCCGCUCAACGGGGUGAAGUGCCAUUGAUACUGCCUAGCUGGAAUGCGGAUGAGGUGGGAAGAAUGUGAGGUGUAGCGGUGAAAUGCAUAGAUAUCACACAGAAUACCGAUUGCGAAGGCAUCUCACGAAUCCGAGAUUGACGCUGAUGCACGAAAGCGUGGGUAUCAAACAGGAUUAGAUACCCUGGUAGUC
rnacentral:rRNA from 1 species